AUGGACAUUGGCGUUUUCCUGGUGAAUGAAGAAGCUGUGAGUAGUGACUUCUGGGUGCUGUUGAAUUGCUUUUUAUUGAGAGAUGAAAGUCCUUCCUUUCGCACAUCAUUUGCCAACAUGUUCAUUUGCUUCAGUGGACAUUCUUCAGUGGGGUGGGCUGAGGUAUCUACUAUUGGCAAGAAGUUACCUCCAACUGCAGCAACUCCAGACUCGUCAAAACCAGAAAUGGACAGCCGGACGAAGGGACUGCAUCGACGUGGGCUGGUGGGAAGGAGAACUGAACGGCAGACGAGGAGUGUUUCCUG
rnacentral:lncRNA from 1 species